CCUACGGGGUGCAGCAGUGAGGAAUAUUGGUCAAUGGACGAGAGUCUGAACCAGCCAAGUAGCGUGAAGGAUGACUGCCCUAUGGGUUGUAAACUUCUUUUAUAUGGGAAUAAAAUGUUCCACGUGUGGGAUUUUGUAUGUACCAUAUGAAUAAGGAUCGGCUAACUCCGUGCCAGCAGCCGCGGUAAUACGGAGGAUCCGAGCGUUAUCCGGAUUUAUUGGGUUUAAAGGGAGCGUAGGUGGAUUGUUAAGUCAGUUGUGAAAGUUUGCGGCUCAACCGUAGAAUUGCAGUUGAAACUGGCAGUCUUGAGUACAGUAGAGGUGGGCGGAAUGCGUGGUGUAGCGGUGAAAUGCUUAGAUAUCACGAAGAACUCCGAUUGCGAAGGCAGUUCACUGGACUGCAACUGACACUGAGGCUCGAAAGUGUGGGUAUCAAACAGGAUUAGAUACCCUGGUAGUC
rnacentral:rRNA from 1 species